GUGACCUUACUUAACAAAAUCUGUUCUAUAGGUUGUGCAUCUGUUUCCAUUGACACAAUGGAGACAUGCACGACAAUUUAGAAGAUGACGCAAAGCCACGUGGCCAGAGCGUGAAUACCCGCUCUGGGUCUCACGGGCUCUAUCAUCCCUACAUGAUCGCUCUUAUCAAGCAACGGUUGUGAGAUGGCCAUGUGGUAGUAUGAUAGGUC
rnacentral:snoRNA from 1 species